rnacentral:rRNA from 1 species
UGGGGAAUAUUGCACAAUGGGCGAAAGCCUGAUGCAGCAACGCCGCGUGAGUGAUGAAGGUCUUCGGAUUGUAAAGCUCUGUCUUUUGGGACGAUAAUGACGGUACCAAAGGAGGAAGCCACGGCUAACUACGUGCCAGCAGCCGCGGUAAUACGUAGGUGGCGAGCGUUGUCCGGAUUUACUGGGCGUAAAGGGUGCGUAGGCGGAUGUUUAAGUGAGAUGUGAAAUACCCGGGCUUAACUUGGGUGCUGCAUUUCAAACUGGAUAUCUAGAGUGCAGGAGAGGAGAAUGGAAUUCCUAGUGUAGCGGUGAAAUGCGUAGAGAUUAGGAAGAACACCAGUGGCGAAGGCGAUUCUCUGGACUGUAACUGACGCUGAGGCACGAAAGCGUGGGUAGCAAACAGGAUUAGAUACCCUGGUAGUCCACGCCGUAAACGAUGAGUACUAGGUGUAGGAGGUAUCGACCCCUUCUGUGCCGCAGUAAACACAUUAAGUACUCCGCCUGGGAAGUACG